UGGGGUGCUCGAGUGGCGAACGGGUGAGUAACACGUGAGUAACCUGCCCUUGACUUUGGGAUAACUUCAGGAAACUGGGGCUAAUACCGGAUAGGAGCUCCUGCUGCAUGGUGGGGGUUGGAAAGUUUCGGCGGUUGGGGAUGGACUCGCGGCUUAUCAGCUUGUUGGUGGGGUAGUGGCUUACCAAGACUUUGACGGGUAGCCGGCCUGAGAGGGUGACCGGCCACAUUGGGACUGAGAUACGGCCCAG
rnacentral:rRNA from 1 species